rnacentral:rRNA from 1 species
AGGACGAACGCUAGCGGCGUGCCUAAGAAAUGCAAGUCGAGCGAGUGUUUUGGGGCUUGCCCCGAAACAUUAGCGGCGAACGGUCGCGUAACACGUAAGCAACCUGCCCUGAAGUGGGGGAUAGCCCGCCGAAAGGCGGAUUAAUACCGCAUGUGGAUGUAUGUUCGCAUGGAUAUGUAUCUAAAGCAGCGAUGCGCUUCAGGAUGGGCUUGCGGCCUAUCAGCUAGUUGGUGUGGGUAACGGCCUACCAAGGCGACGACGGGUAGCUGGUCUGAGAGGAUGGUCAGCCGGACUGGGACUGAGACACGGCCCAGACUCCUACGGGGGGCAGCAAUUAGGAAUCUUGCGCAAUGGGCGAAAGCCUGACGCAGCGACGCCGCGUGACCGAUGAAGUCCUUCGGGAUGUAAAGGUCUUUUUUGAGGGAAGAUAAUGACGGUACCUCAAGAAUAAGCCCCGGCUAACUACGUGCCAGCAGCCGCGGUAAUACGUAGGGGGCGAGCGUUGUCCGAAUUCACUGGGCGUAAAGCGCGCGUAGGCGGACUAUUAAGUUGGUGGUGAAAUGCCGAGGCUCAACCUCGGAACUGCCUCCAAAACUGGUGGUCUUGAGGUAUGGAGAGGGAAGUGGAAUUCCAGGUGUAGCGGUGAAAUGCGUAGAUAUCUGGAGGAACACCUGUGGCGAAGGCGGCUUCCUGGUCAUAUCCUGACGCUGAGGUGCGAAAGCUAGGGGAGCGAACGGGAUUAGAUACCCCGGUAGUCCUAGCCGUAAACGAUGGAUACUAGGUGUUAGAGGUAUCGACCCCUCUAGUGCCGAAGCUAACGCAUUAAGUAUCCCGCCUGGGGAGUACGACCGCAAGGUUG